AUGCACGCUGGCGGCGUGCCUCAUCCAUGCAAGUCGCGCGCACAGACGAGGAGCUUGCUCCUCUGACGUUAGCGGCGGACGGGUGAGUAACACGUGGGUAACCUACCUAUAAGACUGGGAUAACUUCGGGAAACCGGAGCUAAUACCGGAUAAUAUAUUGAACCGCAUGGUUCAAUAGUGAAAGACGGUUUUGCUGUCACUUAUAGAUGGAUCCGCGCCGCAUUAGCUAGUUGGUAAGGUAACGGCUUACCAAGUCAACGAUGCGUAGCCGACCUGAGAGGGUGAUCGGCCACACUGGAACUGAGACACGGUCCAGACUCCUACGGGAGGCAGCAGUAGGGAAUCUUCCGCAAUGGGCGAAAGCUUGACGGAGCAACGCCGCGUGAGUGAUGAAGGUCUUCGGAUCGUAAAACUCUGUUAUUAGGGAAGAACAAAUGUGUAAGUAACUAUGCACGUCUUGACGGUACCUAAUCAGAAAGCCACGGCUAACUACGUG
rnacentral:rRNA from 1 species